rnacentral:rRNA from 1 species
GACGGAGGUGGCAAACGUUGCUCGGAAUUACUGGGCUUAAAGGGCGUGUAGGCGGUCGACUAAGUCGGGUGUGAAAAACCUCGGCUCAACCGAGGAAUUGCAUUCGAUACUGGACGGCUAGAGUGCGAGAGGGGCAAGUGGAACUCCAGGUGUAGCGGUGAAAUGCGUAGAUAUCUGGAGGAACGCCGGUGGCGAAAGCGACUUGCUGGCUCGUAACUGACGCUGAGGCGCGAAAGCUAGGGG